UCAACGCUUAUGUCAUUUUGAAUAUGUGCAGGUAUAGUAACUCCUAGAACUAGACUUAUUUUUGUCAAAGGAUAGUUGCAUUUUUAUUUUGAUAGAUAUUGACGUAUUGCUCUUCACAGAGGCUAUAUCAAUUAUGCCUCACUAGCAAUAAAUGAUUUUUUUCUCAAUGCCUUCAUUAACACAGCUUGUUGUCAGACUUUCUGAUCCUUGCCAAUCUAAGUGAAAAAUGGUAAUUUAUUGUGGUUUUAGUUUGCAUUUCUGUCAUUAUAAGUGAACAUUUUGCAUUUUCUCUCCGUGAACUGGCUGUUCAUAAUUUUUGGUCACUUUUCUGUUGGAGUGUUGGUCUUUUCCUUAUUGAUUUCUAGGAGCUCUUUGUGCAUUAAAGAAAUUAGUUAUUUGUAUCAAGUAUGAAUUGCAUAUACUUUUCCCCAGACUUUUGAUUUUGUUAAUGAUAGGCUUUUGGAGUAAAGGGAACUUGGGAAGGAGGUUUUUGCUUUUUUACUAUUAUUUAUCUAUUAUUAAAAAAAUUCAACUUUUAUUUUAGAUCCAGGGUAUAUAUGUGCGGGUUUGUCACAUGGUUAUAUUGCAUGAUGCUGAGAUUUGAGGUACGAAUGAUCCUAUCACCUGGGUAGUGAGCAUAGUACCCAGUAGUUAGUUUUUCAACCCUUGCCCCUUUCUUCCCUCCCCCCUCUAGUAGUCCCCAGUGUCUGUUGUUGCCAUCUUUAUGUCCAUGAGUACCUACUGUUUAAUUUCCACUUAUAAGUGAAAAUAUGUGGUAUUUGGUUUUCUGUACUUUCAUGAAUUUGCUUAGAAUAAUAGCCUCCAGCUGCAUCCAUGUUAGUUUUGCUAUAUUUAUGUAGUAAAAUGUUUGGGUUUUGGUUUGUAUUUUAAAAGGUUUUCUCUACUAAUGCAGGGAAAGCCCAGAUUUGGGGCUCAGCCCAGGAGAGUUCUUGGCUUCAUGCAGGAAAGGAUUCACAAGCUAAAGCAAGUUUAUCAGAGCAACAAACUACAGGAAAAUGGCUGCUCCAUAGACAGAGUAGGAGCAGCAGCUCCCAUGAAUUGUUGGCCAGCUGUAUACAUACAAUUCCCUGGUUAUAUGCUAAAUAAGGGGUGGGUUAUUCAUGCAUUUUCCAGAAAAGUAGGAAGGGUUCCCAGAACUGAGAGUUCCUCCCUUUUUUAAACCAUAUAAGGUAACUUCUAGGAGUUGCCAUGGCAUUUGUAAACUGUCAUGCCACUGUUGGGAGUUUUUUUUUGCAUGCUACUGCAUUAUAAUUAAUGUAUAAUGAGCAGUGAGGGCAACUAGAGAUCACUUUUGUUGCCAUCUUGGUUUUAGCUGGUUGUGGCCAGUUUCUUUGCUGCAUCUUGUUUUGAUAAGAUUCUGUUUCAAUCAGUGGGACCUUGGUGCUCAGAAAACAAGCCCAGCUCAUCUCCUACCUUACUACUAUAAGAUUUUAUUUAACUCUCUUUUUAUUUCCUGUUUUUAUAUGAUUUUGAUUUUUAUGUUUAAAUCUUUGAUUCAUCUAAAACUUACUUUGGUAUAAGGAUCCCACUGAAUUAAAUUGGACUGCAAAAUGAACCAACUGAUGUUGGAAACGGGUACCUCAUUGAUUAGUUACAUGAGAACCAUCCCAAACUCCUGUAGACUUAUUAUAUAUUAUUUCCCCAGCACCUGGUAUGGUACCUGAAAUAAGAUGAGUGCUUAAUAAAUGCUUGAUAAACUAAAUUGAAGGGAAUUUCUGGGCUUAUUAUCUUUGUUAUUAGCCAUUGUAUUGAUCUGAUAUGUAGUGUUAAAUGAGAUGAUGAUACCACGAACACAGUAGAUUUCUCCUGCACAAAAUCUAGAGUGUUAGAUCCAGGGACUAGAAAAAUUAUUCACUCAACAAAUAAAUAGUAACCAUCACUUAUAGGCAUUCUAGCUGGGUUCAGGGAGUCAAUAAACAAAUAUGUAAUGCCAUGUAAUUGCCAUGUAAGAAUAGAAAUAGAGCAGUGUAUAGGUUAAUAGAGAAUGACCAGGAGGGGAGCGCUAGCCCAAGAGGUGAAGGACAUUGACAAUUAAGUUGUCUUUACUUAAUGAACACAUGUUCAAAUACAAAGAAAUUGAAAGGUUGUGGGGGUUAAAUCUCAGAAGAUUACAGAGGGAGAAUCAUCUGUCUCUAGUUU
rnacentral:lncRNA from 1 species